UUCGCAAUGCCCGAAAGGGUGACGGAGCGACGCCGCGUGGUCGACGAAGGCCCUCGGGUUGUAAAGUCCUGUCAGGUGGGAAGAACAGCUUGGAGGUGAAUAACCUUCAAGCCUGACGUUACCAUCAGAGGAGGCACCAGCAAACUUCGUGCCAGCAGCUGCGGUAAUACGAAGGGUGCGAGCGUUGUUCGGAAUCACUGGGCUUAAAGGGCACGUAGGCGGGGAGAUAAAUCAGAAGUGAAAGCCCGGCGCUCAACGUCGGAAUUGCUUUUGAAAAUGUCUCUCUCGAGUUCAGGAGGGGAGAGCGGAACCCUUGGUGGAGCGGUGAAAUGCGUAGAUAUCAAGGGGAACGCCGGCGGCGAAAGCGGCUCUCUGGCCUGAUACUGACGCUGAGGUGCGAAAGCUAGGGGAGCAAAAAGGAUUAGAUACCCUUGUAGUCCUAGCCGUAAACGAUGGGCACUAAGUAGAGGGGUUUU
rnacentral:rRNA from 1 species